AGUUUGAUCCUGGCUUCCGUAGCUGGUCUGAGAGGACGACCAGCCACACUGGGACUGAGACACGGCCCAGACUCCUACGGGAGGCAGCAGUGGGGAAUAUUGGACAAUGGGCGCAAGCCUGAUCCAGCAAUGCCGCGUGUGUGAAGAAGGCCUUCGGGUUGUAAAGCACUUUCAGCAGGGAGGAAAAGCUUCGGGUUAAUACCUCGGAGUCUUGACGUUACUUGCAGAAGAAGCACCGGCUAACUCUGUGCCAGCAGCCGCGGUAAUACAGAGGGUGCAAGCGUUAAUCGGAAUUACUGGGCGUAAAGGGCGCGUAGGUGGUUUGAUAAGUCGGAUGUGAAAUCCCCGGGCUUAACCUGGGAACUGCAUUCGAAACUAUUUGACUAGAGUUUGAGAGAGGGAAGUGGAAUUCCACAUGUAGCGGUGAAAUGCGUGGAUAUGUGGAGGAACAUCAGUGGCGAAGGCGGCUUCCUGGCUUAAAACUGACACUGAGGCGCGAAAGCGUGGGUAGCAAACAGGAUUAGAUACCCUGGUAGUCCACGCCCUAAACGAUGUCAACUGGUUGUUGGGAGAGUGAAAUCUCUUAGUAACGAAGCUAACGCGUGAAGUUGACCGCCUGGGGAGUACGGUCGCAAGAUUAAAACUCAAAGGAAUUGACGGGGACCCGCACAAGCGGUGGAUGAUGUGGAUUAAUUCGAUGCAACGCGAAAAACCUUACCUACCCUUGACAUGUCCAGAAUCCUGCAGAGAUGUGGGAGUGCCCGAAAGGGAAUUGGAACACAGGUGCUGCAUGGCUGUCGUCAGCUCGUG
rnacentral:rRNA from 1 species